rnacentral:lncRNA from 11 species
UUUGGAGACAACCAUCAUCAUAACCUCUGACUAAUCCACUCUAAUUUCUGACAACAUAAAUGCUCCUGUGUCAUAAUUCCAAGUGAUCUGAAAGGGAAGUGGCCAUAAUCCCCAAUUUUUUUCAUUAUUGCCUCUGCUUAUUAGUUUGUCGUGCUUGCUCACAAAGGAGAUCACAUCUUGAUCUUAUUCUUAUAAAUAAGAAAGCCUAUGUUAGCCUUCUGUUUAAUGCACAUUCUCCUUAUUUAUCCAGUACCCUCCAGAUACAUUAGAUUGCAACACAAACCAUAACCAGCUACUGUGACUACUGUAUAUGCUGUCUGGAGUCCAACACAUUUGGGGAGGAGCACCAGAUUGGGAAAGGAUCAUAUGGAUCAUUCCAGACAAUGGGAUCAGCUCUAUCACUGGGUCACCAUAAGCAAUAUGACUUUUGGUCCUAGCAAGAAGGGUCACUGGCACUCAUUCAAUAGUUUCAAGCAAUGGAG